CGACUAGAUCUAAAUAAGUACAAAAAUCAUUAGUAAAAAUAUUAAACAUCUUUAUAAAACAAAAAAGAUAAAUGGCAAUACAUAUAAAUAAUAAUGAAGGAUAAAUGAAUAUAACAUGUACAUGUAUAUAUAUGUGUGAUGUCGGUUGUACAAUCUGUUCAUUUCUAACAUGUUCAUGUAUAUAUAUAUGUGUGAUGUCGGUUGUACAAUCUGUUCAUUUCUGAUAACUGAUAUUUCUUGCAAAUAAUAACUUGUAUAAUAAAAAAAACAUGAAAUAAAAUUAUGUAUGAUACCUGUCCUAAUAUAAAUACUGACAAGCAAUCUUUAAAUGGAAAUGUUGGCCAUAUUAGGUUUUUUUCAAAAUUGCCAUUAUGUAAACUUUAACUUUCCCAAUUUCAAAUACAAAAAUAAACCGAUAAAGAAACACAUGACAAAUCUGCUUAAUUGUUUAAAGUAAUUCGUCAAAAACAAAAUUCCUCUCCAAGAAUGUGAAACUUUUUCAAAACUGAAAGGAGUGAAUCUGUAAAUUUCAAAAUACCAUGUUGUCAUAACUACUGUUGUAACAUUUGUAAACCUUAUGUCAACUUAACUGUGGUAUACAGAUACUAUACACAUGCUUUAUGCACAUGCACAUGCAAGGAAUUCUAGGAUUCCAUAAAAGUGGGAAAAUGUUAAUUACUUAACUAAAGGGAGAUAAUAUGCAAUAAUUACACAUUCUUAGGGAGGAACAGGCUAAGUAUAAAGGGAGAUAAUAUGCAAUAAUUACACAUUCUUAGGGAGGAACAGGCUAAGUAUUGCCAAUUAUUUAGUAAUUACAGAUUUAAUACAUAAAAUAUUAAAACUAAAAGGAAUAAUAUAUAUUUAAUAAAAAAAAUCCUGCAUAUAAUCUCCCUUUUAGUGUUUAACUUUCAUAAAUUUGUUAAUUUUAAGAUGUGAGUUUAUAUUUAUAAUAAAAAUUAAAGUACACAUGCUAUCAACAUUGAAAAAUAAAACCCAUAUUAAAUCAAGUUCAACAGCUCUAAAAAAAGUAAAAAUUCAAAAGGGAUUUGUGCUUAUUGAACAUUUUCUAAGAAAAACUACUUGAGCAAAUUUUUGAGGGACUGUCAUAGAUUUUUAAUUUUCAACUUAAACAUUUCCAUGUCUAUAGCACAACAUAGCAUGCAAAUCAACAAAGUGAUCUUGUGCACUUUAAAGAUAUUGCAAGAAGCUCUUUUAGCAUUGAGGGACAAAAAGAAAGACAUUCAUAUACAGUGAUAGGUUAAUCUGUCUUUGAAGAAAAAAAAGAAAUCAUAAAUACAUUUCAAAAAUGACCUUGUUUUUUGUAGAUACAUAUAUAUAUAUAUAUUUAUUUAGUAGCCUCCGUUUGCACAGUAUAAAUAUAACUUACACAUGAUGAAAGGCAGACUUGGUAGAAUCACAACCAAGAAUAACAAAUUUAUAUACAAACCCUCUACAAACUGACAAAUGAUGUAAAAUAUAGAAUGAUAAUGUGAUGCUAGGGUCUAUACAUUUCUUUU
rnacentral:lncRNA from 1 species